AUUGAACGCUGGCGGCAUGCCUUACACAUGCAAGUCGAACGGUAACGGGCCUUCGGGUGCCGACGAGUGGCGAACGGGUGAGUAAUACAUCGGAACGUGCCCGAUCGUGGGGGAUAACGAGGCGAAAGCUUUGCUAAUACCGCAUACGAUCUACGGAUGAAAGCAGGGGACCGCAAGGCCUUGCGCGGACGGAGCGGCCGCUGGCAGAUUAGGUAGUUGGUGGGAUAAAAGCUUACCAAGCCGACGAUCUGUAGCUGGUCUGAGAGGAUGAUCAGCCACACUGGGACUGAGACACGGCCCAGACUCCUACGGGAGGCAGCAGUGGGGAAUUUUGGACAAUGGGCGCAAGCCUGAUCCAGCCAUGCCGCGUGCAGGAUGAAGGCCUUCGGGUUGUAAACUGCUUUUGUACGGAACGAAAAGCCUUCUUUUAAUACAGGAGGGUCAUGACGGUACCGUAAGAAUAAGCACCGGCUAACUACGU
rnacentral:rRNA from 1 species